rnacentral:rRNA from 1 species
GACGAAGGGGGCUAGCGUUGUUCGGAAUUACUGGGCGUAAAGCGCGUGUAGGCGGUUGCCAUAGUCAGGUGUGAAAGCCUUGAGCUCAACUCAAGAAAUGCACUUGAUACUGGGCGACUAGAGGACCGGAGAGGAUAGUGGAAUUCCCAGUGUAGUGGUGAAAUACGUAGAGAUUGGGAAGAACACCAGUGGCGAAGGCGGCUAUCUGGACGGUUUCUGACGCUAAGACGCGAAAGCGUGGGGGAGCAAACAGG